rnacentral:rRNA from 1 species
CACGUAGGGCGCAAGCGUUGUCCGGAAUUAUUGGGCGUAAAGAGCUCGUAGGCGGUCCGUCACGUCCGCUGUGAAAACCCAGGGCUCAACCCUGGGCUUGCAGUGGAUACGGGCAGACUAGAGGUAGGUAGGGGAGAAUGGAAUUCCCGGUGUAGCGGUGAAAUGCGCAGAUAUCGGGAGGGACACCGGUGGCGAAGGCGGUUCUCUGGGCCUUACCUGACGCUGAGGAGCGAAAGCGUGGGGAGCGAACAGG